GAAGGCCUCAGGCUUUCCUACAGCCCUGUGAUUAUGUUGUUAUGGGUCAACAGGAGCCAGCUGUCUGAGUUUGUAGAUAAGGUGUGCCUUGGGAGUAAUCUGUUGAACGCCUUCUGUUCUGAUUAGGUUACACACACUGAUGGAGUCUCUCUUCUUCAGAAGUGUCUUCUGAUUUAUGAUUUGUAUGUACUACCCUCUUUCAGUAGAACUGAAUGUAGUUCUGCAUUUGGCUGUGCCCUGUGUACAGGCUGCCGCAUUGCUUCUCUGUCGACAGAUUUGUUUGCAAUAAAUCCAUAUAUUCAAGUAAUGCCAACUGGGGCUCAUCGAGUAAUCCCUUUAAUCAAUUGAGGACAUCUCUUCAGUGCCAGUUUUUCUUAAACAAAUUGGCAUCACAACAGUAGGAUUCCAAGAAAGACGGACACUGGAUUUUGCAGAUAUGCCAGAGCCUUGGAAAAGGGGCUAUCUAUCCUUUUGAGCAAAGAGAUGUUGUGUUUGAGAGAGGUCCAUGCCAAGUGCUGCUAAACCACGAGAACCGUCCCAAGGGGUAAGGGAAUGCCAGAAGGAAUCUAUGCCACGUGGUGCAGGUGAGAUUCAAUCGAGAGAAGCAAGUGUACGGACGGUGUCAACAAGUGGUUGUGGCCAGAGGGAAAUGUUAACUACCUAUAGGAUGACCACGUGAAAGGCUCACCUGAGUGCGAGGACUCAGGUGGACAGGAUGCAGACUAUGAUGACGUAAGAGACUCACUAACGAGUGAGAGUUUAGGUGAUCAGGAGAAUGACAUGUAUCCUUUUUGUGCACACAACACUCAGAAGGCUUCAGCUAAAGCAUCUCUGGGAAAAUGAGACACAGGAGAAAGCAAUGCUGGCUGCACGCCAGCAUAUCAUGGCCUCAGGCGGAGAAAGUGUAGCUUUCAUGACACUUUAAAUCUGGCUUUGCAAAUGAUGCUGGACUAUGCAAACACCAGAAAUAUGACUGAUUGAUGGAUGUGUCAACAACUUCAACUAACUCUCCAAUGUUAACUGCGAUUGCUUUCACUGCCUGGGCUGGAAAAUGUAUGACUGGUAUGAUUUGGUGGGAGAGUUCAAUUAAACUAACGAUUAUUAUUUUCCAGGACAUCACUCAUCUCCCCCGACUCACAGAGAGAAAUAGUUGAUUUUGUCAUAUCCAGGUUAAUCAGUAUUUUUGACCUCCAGGUGUCAAUAUCUCUAGUGUACAUAAGGUACUGAGUUUCCACACACAAUACAGAGCUGUUAAUCUAUGACAGGACCAGAUAAUUAAGUAACAAGUGUAGCUCCUAUGCUAAAAGUAAUUUGAAUUAAGCCUGUCCAGGGGCAGAGAUCUUAGUCUACAACCUCUACAAAAGUAACUCUGCUCAACUCUACUAUCUUUGUAGGAAUCUUAAAUGACCUUAAAGAUUUUUCAAUACCCUUUUCAAAGCUAGAAUGUUCAUAAAUUAUCGUUAGAAUAAUUCUGCUUUUGCAUUUAUUCUGAUCUAACCCCUACAUGGCUCAUGCACAGUCCAAUACUAAUAAAUUUAGGAACUAAUAAUUGUUUCAAAGUCACCAAAAUGAAUGUAACUUCUUUAAUCUUCCAUCUAUAAAUGUUUGUAAAGGAUACACUGUAGCUGAUUUAGUCCAGGAAGCGGUGCAAGGCUUAGCUUAAUUGCAUUAAGUACAUGGGUUGUAUCCAACAGGUGACCUAAUGGGAUUAUUGGGGCCUCGGGGAUCCUCUGUGCAUAUCAUUUUUCUACUAUUAUUACUCUCA